rnacentral:misc_RNA from 1 species
CCAAUAGCGUAUAUUAAAGUUGUUGCAGUUAAAAAGCUCGUAGUUGAACUUCGGGAUCAAUGGGUCGGUCAUGCCGUCGGUAUGUACUGAUUUUAUUGGUUCUCACCUUCUAAGGAACCGUAAUGUCAUUAGUUUGAUGUUGCGGGGAAUUAGGACUGUUACCUUUAAAAAAUUAGAGUGUUUAAAGCAGGCUAACGCUUGAAUACAUUAGCAUGGAAUAAUGAAAUAGGACAUCAGAUUCUAUUUUGUUGGUUUCUAGGAUCGAUGUAAUGAUUAAUAGGGAUAGUUGGGGGAAUUAGUAUUCAAUUGUCAGAGGUGAAAUUCUUGGAUUUAUUGAAGACUAACUACUGCGAAAGCAUUUGCCAAGGAUGUUUUCAUUAAUCAAGAACGAAAGUUAGGGGAUCGAAGACGAUCAGAUACCGUCGUAGUCUUAACCACAAACUAUGCCGACUAGGGAUCGGAUGAUGUUAAUUUUUUAAUGACUCAUUCGGCACCUUACG